GGCAAGGUGGCCGAGUGGUCUAAGGCGUAAGUAGUUCCACCAAAACUUUCCUGAGAGCCUUGUCUAAACCAAUCAAUAGGAUGGAUUUAAGUGGAUAAAUUCGCUAUAAAUUCCCCAUUAUCGAGAGAUGCACGGGUUCGAAUCCCGUCCUUGUCA
rfam:Aspergillus rambellii strain SRRC1468 contig00388, whole genome shotgun sequence.